GUCUGUUAGGUAUCCGGUGGUAUUGAUAGGGUGACUGCUGAUGCAGUCAGUUAUUUUAAUAUAUAUCAGUUAUUUUAAUAUAUAAUUUGUAUUGAUUAGGAGCGGUUACAGGCAGUUUAUGCCCUUUCUUUGUAUAAAUAAGGCCAUUUGGCCACAACAGUAGGGGAAUUCAUAAUUAUUUAAUUAGGAACCUUAUUGGUUUUGGGCAGAGAGAGAGAUGUCUCUUCUCUGAGGAGCUUUUGCUUUGGGAUUACAGAGGGAUAAUCUUCGGUAAUAUUUUCUAUUCAAUCUAUAAUACUAUUUAUUCUGUUUCUCUUUAAUUCGAGUUCCUAUCAUCGUCUCUUUUGUUUGGCUUGCAUCUUAUUAAACUUCUCUUUCCCCUUUUC
rnacentral:lncRNA from 1 species